rnacentral:rRNA from 1 species
GUAGGGUGCGAGCGUUAAUCGGAAUUACUGGGCGUAAAGCGUGCGCAGGCGGUUUUGUAAGCCAGAUGUGAAAUCCCCGGGCUUAACCUGGGAAUGGCAUUUGGGACUGCAAGGCUUGAGUGCGGCAGAGGAGACUGGAAUUCCCGGUGUAGCAGUGAAAUGCGUAGAUAUCGGGAGGAAUACCGAUGGCGAAGGCAGGUCUCUGGGCUGACACUGACGCUCAUGCACGAAAGCGUGGGGAGCAAACAGGAUUAGAUACCCUGGUAGUCCACGCCCUAAACGAUGUCGACUGGUUGUUGGGGGUUUGACACUCUCAGUAACGAAGCUAACGCGUGAAGUCGACCGCCUGGGGAGUACGGCCGCAAGGUUA